rnacentral:rRNA from 1 species
UACGUAGGGUGCGAGCGUUGUCCGGAAUUAUUGGGCGUAAAGGGCUCGUAGGCGGUUUGUCACGUCGGGAGUGAAAACUCAGGGCUUAACCCUGAGCCUGCUUCCGAUACGGGCAGACUAGAGGUAUGCAGGGGAGAAUGGAAUUCCUGGUGUAGCGGUGGAAUGCGCAGAUAUCAGGAGGAACACCGAUGGCGAAGGCAGUUCUCUGGGCCGUAACUGACGCUGAGGAGCGAAAGCGUGGGGAGCGAACAGG